GCUAUGACUCAGUGGUAGAGUAUCUGCUUAGCAUGCAGAAGGUCCCAGGUUCAAUCCCCUGGUAUCUCCA